UCCAGCCCAACCUUCCUUGCCCACUCCUCUCGAUCCCAUCGUUCGUGGCCGCCGCCGUCCGAGGGGAGUCGCCGCCGCCGCGUCUCUCGAUCCCAUCGGCCCCGUCGGAUCUCGCCGCUGGCGGACGACUCGAGAAGACCCCGCCGGAUCUCGCCCUCGUCAUCAGUUCUGGAUCGCCGCCGCCGAUCCCCUCCGGAAAACAACGCCGAUCCCCUGCUCGCCCACGCACGCUGCCGCGGAUGAAGGCCGCCUGCUCGGGAUCCCCAAACCUGCUGGCGCCGCGCUCCGUAGGAUCCAAGUACGCCCCUCUCCGUGGUGUUCACUGAUUGCUUGGAGCAACAACGUGCCGUUGGAGUUGCCGAAGCAUUAGGUGAUUCGAUUGUGUGCGUUUGCUGGAUUUGUUUGACGAAGGAAAGAUGACGAUGAAGGACACACAGAGGAGUGUGAGCGGUGAUGGUAUCAAGGUUACCGGCAGGUAUGCAUGCAGGAACUGACUGUACAGUGUUCCUAUAAUGCUACUGGUUUUAACGUCUGUACUGUGAUGCUACUGGCAGUUUAAAUAAAUCUGCUAUCAUUUGGGAUGUGAGUUGUCACAACUCGCUGUGCUCUGGUGUUCAGCUCAGAAUUUCUUUUGGGAAUGAUUCCUCUGAAUAGACUACUUAUGCUUGACAUUUUACUUUUGUUAUUUCUAUUUGUAACUCAAUUUCGGUAUCCUCUCAAAUUGACAAUACUUUUUCUGGAUAUGGUAGUUGAGAAUAGUUAUGGUAUAUAGCGGAGUUAGCGCAUCCUCACCAAUGACUCUUCCUCAGGGAUUUGCUGAACUAGAGUUAGUAAUGGGGGUAUUGCAGACUGUUUAGAAUUAUGGGGGUAUUGCAGACUUUAGAAACUGAAUUAAAUUUUUGUGCAAUUGAAAAAGGUGUAUACAACUUGAAUUUAUUAGGUAGUAUAGAAGAGAUAUGAAAUUUUAAAAUUGUUAGUCAGAUUUGUGUGUUGUUUUGGGUAGUAUUCAGUUUUGUUCCAUCUGAGAGGCCAAUAAUGCACAUGUGAUAUUAUCUACAUAAUUCAGUUUAUACGGCUUCCCAUAUUCCAAUGGUUGUAUUUUGCUAAAUUGCCAUCUACUUACUGGAAUUCUCACAAAUAGAAGUGCAGUCAGAAGGUAAAAAGGAUGGUAUGGUAUGUCUCCAUUCACAUGGUACUGAACUGUUAGUGAUUCUUUGUGUUAUUCUGCAGACUUGAACUUAGUUUCUAUGGUUUUCUUUUUCUGUUCAUAGACGAGAGUAUAGUCUGAAGGGAAAAAUUGGUAUGCUCUGAAGGGUGUGCAAGAACAGUGAGAUUUAUAUUACUGAAUGUAUUGUUAACAAUUUGUUAUUUUGCAGACUUGCUCUCAGUUUUUAUUCUUGGCAGGUGAUUCUUCAUGAUAAUUUUUUGUAGAGGAACAUUUUUGCGAUGGGGCUGGGAACGGUGAUCGGUGGUGCUGGUGUCGGCAGUGCGGUACAAGGUCAGGAUGCGGGAUGGGACGGCCAUCCGUGUGAGGCAGUCGGCGGCGAGGGUUUGUGGCAUCACGAGGAGCGCCCACGGAUUCAAGGUGUUGGCCCGAGACCUCCGACGAGGGAGGAGACGAUGUUAGUAUUUCCAUAGGAAAAAAACAAGAGAAGAAGAACAAGAACAACGACGGCAAUCUCGGGUUCCAGGUACGAUGGAGCCGGCGGCGAAGCGCAUGGCGCUCGCAAACGUGAUAGUGGAUGGCGACGAUACCCUCAACUGCGGCAUCUGCUACCUCCCUCUCAAGCCACCAGUCUUCUAGUGUGGCGUCGGUCAUACCAUAUCCUCGCGGUGCCACGACAAGAUGGUGGCGGCAAGGAGGUGCCGUGUGUGUCACAUCCGGUUGACCGGCGGCUAUCGCUGGAACAUCGCACUGGAGAGGCUAACAGAGUCCAUCCGGGUGCCGUGCGCCAACGCCGCCCACGGCUGCACUGCCACGCCGGCCUACUAUGACCACCCCGACCACCUCAAGGCGUGCCCUCACGACGCCAUGCUAUUGCCCGCAGGCAGACUGCGGUUUCGCUAGCUCCACGGCGGCACUCCUGGACCACUUUGCCGACACGCACGGGUGGCCGUGCAUGACCGAGCUUGGGCCUGGGCGUGCAUCGAGGUCCAGCUCUGUGACGGCUUCAACGCCUUCUCGGCCCGUGCCCAAUGCCGGCAGUACCUGUUCCUGCUGAACGUGGCGUUGAACCCGUUUGGCCGAGCGGUCUCCGUGCUCUCCCUGCAUCCUCGGGCGUUGUCGGGGGCGCCAUGUUCUUUGGAGUUUGAGAACUCAGAUUUAUGACAAGGACACAAGCAAAUUUAUAGCAUCCGUUGUGAUGAUACAAGGGAAGUAAGCAUAGAUGCGCUCAACGUGAUGAUAGGUGGGAGAGCUCGGCCUAUGCUGCCAACUGAUCUGCAACGGUGCAGAAGGAGAUUUCAAAAGCAGGGCAAGCGAGAGCGACUGUUCUAUUGAUGGUCAAAAGGGAGGGCUUGGCAAGAGAGAUUGAGGGAGCUCUACUACCUCGAUCUUGGCAUAGAACCUGAUGGCAUCAUGCCCAGGAAACUUCCUUCUUCAGUAUGUAUGGGGAUUUAUAUGACACCAAAAGAGAAGUCCGGCGUGUUUCUUGGUUCUAUGGAACCCCUCGACCGGAAGCAAAUAGAUCACAUCGCAAGUUGCUUGCCCAAUAUAAUCGUGCCGCAAGUUACCAACAUCGCGUGCUUAUACACCAUCGACUUUGCUGGAAAUCUAUCUGUCCGUGCUCCACCGUCUGUCGGAACUUCUUCUGCCCAUGCUACACCUGAGGGAGUGAAAGAGAAGCAAAAACCGGCCAGCUGAGGGGAUCUGAAUCGUAUUUGUUGCCAACCUGCAGCAAGCUAGUUCCAAUAUUCAAAUGUUAAUAGAUGACACUUGCAGAAAAUAUAAUGAGGAGUUGUCAUAUAUUCAAAUGGAAUUUCAGCCAAGUUGGAUUUGAGGCGAAGGAAGGAGGCGACCUCUCAGCAAGGUGACGGUUCUACCGAUGGAGACAUAGCAUGUUGGGAGAAGAGAACUUAUACGCACACAAUUUGGCACAGGGAGGCACGAAGAAGUCUUCAUAUAUUUCUAAAGUAGCAUGAGCAAGGCCACACUCUAUUUUUGAACAAGUUGUGUCCCAUCCUCUGGGACAUCUUCAGUUAAUUGGCGAGCACUCCUUGUCCAAACAGGGUUGAUUAGCUCUCUGCAGUCCGAUCAACAUGCAUCAUGUGGUAACGGCCAUGGUGAAGAUCAGCCCAAUUAUCUCGAUUCAUGUAUUGGUAUCCCAGACGGUGGUCAUAUAUUGAUGCGGCAUCUGCGGGAUCUAGCCAUCAGGCAUGCUUACCGAAGAUAUGGCCCGUGUACAGCGACAUGCAGAUUACCGUUUUGGUCAAUAUGUGGCGGCAGUUAGGAUGCUCCACAUAGAUGCAACUCGCAGGGUUUGACAGUUUGACUACCUCACCAAAGAUGCAGCAUUUGUUGUACAUUGAGUUUGAACGUGUUACAGGUCAUUCCAUAGUCAUCAUAAUUUUUACUAAGAAUCAGCUUGGUGCUCUAUAUCUGUAAUCCAGGCACCGCUGAAUCUCUACAGUAGAGUUGUGUUAGCAACCUCAACAAUGAAACACAUGCCAGCUUCUUUGAUGUCUAUUUGAGGCUCAAGCUAUAUAUCCUUUUCCAUGUCCCACCAUGUUAGUCAACAGGAUUAGUUAUGUUUUGAUGUAAUUGACUUUCAUGAUGUAUCCUACUUAUUCCAGAUACAUGCUUAAACUAGGAUCAUCUACAAUGGAUAUCUUAUCAUUAUCUCACAAUUAAAUUAAUAUAUGAUGCCUAGACUCUGAAUAUAAUCAUAUGCUUAUGUCAUGUAGAAUAUAACGACUUCCUCUAUUUUUAGAACAAUAUGAAAUAGAGUGUAUAAUACGUUCUUUGUUUUUCUGGCCAGACCUGAAAUGUUGAGGGAAGAUUCAGAGUACACGUGGAUCAGUAUUUGUCGCCUAUAAUCCUAUAUAUUAUAAAUAAAAAAAUUCCAAUAGCUUUUGUUAAUUUUGUGUUUGAGUGUAUUGCUUGCAGAUAUGCUGCGAACGAUCAUGCAUGCUAAUAAUUAUUGAUUGCUGAUAUUUGUUUAGAUGUUUUCUUAGCGUUGCUCUAGCAUAAUAGGGCUUAUUUUACUUGCUGUUGUUGGUAAAUAAAUACAACAGUAUGUUCUCAAUUUGAUAUGGUUUCAAUGGAAA